rnacentral:tRNA from 1 species
GUCUGUCUAGACCAAUUGGUAGUUUCUCCGUGCAAGCCGGAUGAUUGGGGUUCGAAUCCCCGGGCAGGCACCA